GGGCUCGUGGCCUAGUCAGGAUAUGGCACCGGCCUUCUAAGCCGGGGGUCGCGGGUUCGAAUCCCGCCGGGCCCG
rnacentral:tRNA from 1 species